rnacentral:lncRNA from 1 species
CUGACAUGGUCACUAGUCUUUUAUUUUGCUCAGUUAAGGACAUUAAAGAAAAUGUCAAAGAAAAGGUCCUUUUUAAACACACACAUGCACAGACCCUGAAAAUACACAGCUCCAGGGAAAGGGCCGUACUUCAGAUCGAGUAGGUCUAGCUUUAGGAAAACUUCACUGUAUUGUCCUAUUUUUCUCGUUUUGCCACAAGCAGAUGGCAACAGCUGGCACUGGGCACCCCGGCGAUGGGCUCGUGUUCCAGGAACUUCUGGUCCCUUCCAUGCAUCUGCGGGGCCCAAGGUCAAGGCGGCAGGGGACCCCUCCCCAGUACUCUCUCCAGCUCCCUCACUCAGCAGUCACUUCUGCUUCUUUGUGUCCCCCCCCCCAACACACAAUAUUUGCAGGAGGUGAGGGUGGGGAGGGGUCUUCACCCAGCUCCCAGAUGAUGAGAGCAGAUUGUCUGGUCACUGCUGGCAGACUGAGAUAGGCCGGCCCCUCCAGAAGCCAUUCCCAGAACCUCCCUCCCUGAACUCCAGUUUCUGUUUCCAUAAAAUGGGCAUAUUAACUCCUCAUCACAAGGCUGAUGUGAGGAGUAAAUGAAAGAGUGUUUGUGAAAGUACUUUGUGAACUAUAAAGCUCAGCAGGGGUAGUUAUUAUUAUCAUGGGAAACCAGUAAAUGACUGAAGAAAGAGCAGCCCAAAAGCUGAUCUCAGCUUCUGGGUGCAGAGACGGUGCUCACACCCACUCCGGGGUCUGUGAUCUCGGGGCCCCUCCAGCCCACAAAGGAGCAACGCGAGCCUGAGUCCUGUGAGUCAAGGCGGCCCGGCCCGGACCAAGGCCUUCUGCUGGAAACAGGGCCAGCCUCUGCCUUGUGCUUGGAGAGAGGGCCCGACAGCUGUCAAGGCUUCUGUUUACUUGUGGUGGCCCUACCGCAGUUUUUAAAGGGCUACCUCUGCCAACUCCCCACCCCCACCCCCACCAUGUCGCUGUGGGAUGGAGGGAAAACACACCGACCCAUGUUCCCAGGCCAGUUCCACCACUUGCUCCAGCUGUGUGGCUUUCGACACAUCCCUUUGCCUCUCUGCGCCUCGGUUUCCUCAUCUGCAAAAUAGAGAUAAGAGCCCUUAGCUCGUGGGGUUGCCGUGAGCUUAUAUGGCAUUGCGUGGGGAAGCCCCUGGAGAGUGCUCAGUCCUCGAGAGCCCCCCACCUCCCCGGGCACCUGGCAUAACCACAGCCCCCACAAAGGGAACCAAGGGGUCCCCAGGAAGCGUGAGCUGUGGCUGGGCUGCCUCCCUGCCCAGCGUGGAUCCCCAGGCCCCGGCUCCCUGCCCCCUCCCCCAGCAGCUCGGCAGCCAGUUGUCAUGAAGUCAUUGCCACCUUCCCCGGGCUGCCCCCCACCCCCGCCCCUGUGCUGACAUCCCAUUUGGCAAAGAGGUUGGAAAAGCCGCUGACUCUUCCAGACCCUGAGUUCAUUGACUGGUCAGUGCCCAUCGGCCACAGCUGACCAUGUGGUCAGAGGGGUCUGCGGAGUGAGGGAGGGGUCCCUCCAGGCUUUCACUCCCAGGCUCAAGCCAGCCCCGGCCCUGAAGACACUCCUCCGACAUGCGCGUGCACACCAUACGUAUACAUACCUGAAACCUACACAUGUGUGACCCCACAGACACACUUGUACACACUGUCCUCUUGAUCCCCACAUAAACACACACCAAGACACACACUCCUUCCCGUGUACAUAAUGUUUUAUACAACCGCCUACCCACAAAGGCACACUCCUACACACACGUGGCUACAGCACGUCCUACAUGCUCACACAGGCACACAUAAGUGUACUCGGCACUUCCUCACACACUGAAAGGGGUUGUUGGCCACCCAGCUACCCACAGCUGCGGCAACUCCUGACUCCACCCCCGGCCUGUGCCCUUGGCCUUCACUGGGCCAAGGGGAACACUCACGGCUGAGCCAGACUCGAGUGGGAGGGUCUCUGAGUCCCUAGACAAGAACCCCAGGCAGCCAGAGCUGAAACUGCUCAUCCCAGCUGACCCCUUCACUUUUAUUUGUGGGAACUGUGGCCCAGAGAGGGCAAGGGGAUGGGCAAGUCACACAGCCAAAGUUUUCCAAGUGCUUCAAAGUGUCUGAGAGCAUGGCCAAAAAGGAAGGAAGCAUCCAGGCCCCCUCCUCCCUAACAGCUGCCCUCCUCAAACCUCCUGACUCAGUUCCUCCCAUACUGGGCAGAACCAGCCCCUUGGCUGGGCCCAGUCCAUGGCUUCCUCCAGGAUGACUGCCAAGAUUGGGCACUGUGUGGGACCUUCACCCUCCGCUCUGGGUGCAAGGUCAUCUGAAGGCGUGCAGGGGAGGGCGCCCACUGUUGAGACAAAGCCCUCGUGGCUUGGGAUGUUGACACUCACUUGGCUUUGGCUGGCCGGCCGCACCAAAUACUCAGCCCAAGGCUGCAGGCCCACACCCACCCUCCCUCUGCCCAGCCCUCGCUCCCUGACUCAGUCUCCCUCGCUGGGACUCAAGACCCUCAGCAGCUGCCUGGAAUGGGACUCCAUCAAGGGACCGCAGGCUCCAGGUCCCUCCAGGUCCCCAGACUAUCAGCCCCACAAGGGUGAGGAUUUCUGCCUGGAAUGGUGCCUGGCGCCCAGUGAGUGACCAACAAAAACGUGUUGAAUGAAUGGGCCGUCUCCCUAUCCCCAGCCUCCUUUUACAGUGGCUCCUCCAGGUCAUAAUCAGGAGUUCUGAUCCAGCUGCUUCCCAUCAGCCAGGAGCUGGGGAAUCUGCCAUGGGUGGCUGUGUGACGUUGGACCAGUCGCUUCCCUCUCUGAGCUUCAGCUGCCAUCUAAGAAGGCAGGGCUGCUGCUGGGGAGAGCACAGCUUGUCCUGUGUGAUUCCAGGGACCACGCCUGUGCGGGGGGAGGGGGUGUCCAGUCACCAGUGCUGCGUCCUUCCUGCUGGCUUUGAAGAGGGCACCCCUUUGGGCAGACCCAGGCUGGGGAGCCCCACAUUGUAAAUAAAACUGCCGCCCAGAAUAGACCAACAUUUUCAACCUGGGAACCAAGGGAACAAGAGUAGUUCUAAGUCUUUCUCGCACCUUUCUCCCACCGCACCCACCUCCCCCCAACUCACACGUGGCUGGGUCCACCCUAGGGAGCGAGGGGGCGCCGACUCCGGGUCAGCAUCCUGCUUCCUGCAGGGCUGCAGCGAGGCCUGCCCAGGGUGCACACAGAGGACUGUUUGUUCGCAGUGGGCGGCGAGGAGAUGCUAAUGCCUGCAGAUCGCUGGGCUCCGGCUGAAGGUCAGGAGGUAAGGCGACCCGCGGUUAUAAAUAACCCUGCCGGGCAGCGGGCACAGGAGGGCUGCUCUGGAUCGGCGCCCCUGGCCUGGCGGGGCCCAGAUUGAUUACUGCCUUCCCCCGGUCCCCGACUGCGGGAACCUGACCCCCUAGAGCACCGUGCAGUGACCUUUAGGAGCGAA